UCCCCCCUGAUGCCCGAAAAAGUUAUAAAAAACAUCUGUGAUAUUGUUGACUGAUGUCCCAACGAGAUCACUCCAUCGACCGAUCACUCUCACCGACAAAAUCAGUGACAAAAUCUGAUCUUUGUUCCCCCAGUCCAAUAAAUGGCGGCUCGACAAUGGCCGCCAUUAUUCCCAUUUCCAAGAUCGCUAAAAAGAAGCCAUUUUCAAAAUAUGGCUGCCCCCUGACAUCAUAAUGGCGUUGCUACGAUCAAAACAAACAACAGAUACUGUCAAUGGAGAUCGCCGGUAUUUCAAUAGUCAAAAAAUCCCCCAAAUGUCACUCCUAAACAUAUUUAUCACAUUUCUACGUGCUCGAAUACGCAGUUAUCGAUUGGAUUAAACCGGAAGUGCGUAGUCACCGUCGGUGUAUCCAAGUGGCAUCUUAACACGAACGUGUGAGUGAAAUAACUCGAGGGAUAAAAAAAAUUAUUGCCCUGUCGGUGGUAUUUGAUCGUAAACGCUGAGGGGAUCACCACCGACAAUUUCCUCUUGCGUCUGUAGUAUGAUUUCCUCACGUCCUGGCUCGGGGAGUGGUUGAAGAGAUAUUAUUGGCUGACCAUCAUCACCCUCAAUUGUUGUUUCAACAGUUUCGCACGGUAUUUCAACUGGUAUCGUUUCAAUUUCUACCUCUUGGAUGUCCGGUUGUAUUUCAACUUCGGUUAUUAUGUCCGAGGACGCCAUAUUAAUCUCGCCUGACGCCAUGUUACUAAUCAAAA